rnacentral:rRNA from 1 species
UACGUAGGGUGCGAGCGUUGUCCGGAAUUAUUGGGCGUAAAGAGCUCGUAGGCGGUUUGUCGCGUCGACUGUGAGAACCCGAGGCUUAACCUCGGGCCUGCAGUCGAUACGGGCAGACUAGAGUUCGGUAGGGGAGACUGGAAUUCCUGGUGUAGCGGUGAAAUGCGCAGAUAUCAGGAGGAACACCGGUGGCGAAGGCGGGUCUCUGGGCAGUAACUGACGCUGAGGAGCGAAAGCGUGGGGAGCGAACAGG